AUGUUCCCGUUCAAUUUCAAGAGGAAACAAUUUCCAGUGAGACUAAGUUUUGCAAUGACAAUAAGCAAAUCACAAGGUCAGACAAUACCAAAUGUCGGUGUCUACCUGCCUGAACCGGUUUUCUCACAUGGUCAACUAUAUGUCGCUCUUUCUAGAGCGACCUCGACAUCAAACAUAAAAGUAUUAACAGCAACACAUGAUGAGAACAAGGGGACGGAUAAGAAGAUCAGCACAAAUACAAAGAAGGACAAAAAGAGGAAUAAUCAAACAAUUAGUACAAACAGGGCAUACACAAAAAAUAUUGUCUACACAGAAGUCCUCACCAAAUAG
rnacentral:rRNA from 1 species